GCCUCUGUGGUCUAGUUGGUCAUGACGCCGGUCUCAUAUCUAGGUUAUGACAAGUAGUUUCAAACUGCUUGAAAUCCGGAGGUCGCCAGUUCGAUCCUGGCCGGGGGCA